AGAGCGUUAUGAUGAUGGGAAUUCCCCGAGUCUAGCUUGAAUGGGGGCGAAAGCCUCA
rnacentral:ncRNA from 1 species